rnacentral:lncRNA from 1 species
UGGUGGAGGAUCAUUUGGGGAAGAGGAGGUUAACUCUCAUGAUUUCAUUAAUUCUAGGAACUCCUGAUGAAUGUGGAAGAACUCUCUAUGGAUAUGAAUGAACAACUCUUCUGGAGUUUGUAGGCUUAGAAAUAUGCCUAGUGCAUUUUAAGGCUAAAUGAUAAUUCCUCUUCACACAGUGAGUACUUGUCAGAGGUAUGAUUUGAACCCAGGUCUUCCCCACUACAAGGCCAAAGUUCUAUCCUCUGCAGUAAACUUCUCCUCACUCGGGGAUUAGCACCCCAUUUAUUAUUAUUCCAUCAAAGGAAGAAGGCAGUGUUUUAUUUUUAAACUCAGUUUCUCAUUAGCUGUUUUCUUUUCUAAAAUAAACCAGGCGGUUUCUGAAUAGGGCCCCAAAGGAAAGCAAAGGCAGACACAAUUUACAACAUGAUGGCAACAUUCACCGGCCUGAAGUUUCCGUUUCUGUGCUGUCCUGCCUUUGACGCAACAAGGUAGCCAUGGAACCCUGGUCUGGCAGGCUGAGUAGUUUCACACUGAGAAUUGUAAUAAACUGGGUUUAACUCCAAACGAGAAACAAACAUUAAGACUGUGUGUUUCAGCCAAGAUCUGCCACUUUUUUGGACAGCUCUCAAGCUGUGAGGUUGCCAGUGUGGGUGAGCACUAGAAGGAGAGUGUAUGACAAACAGAAACUCUCCAACUCUGAUAGCCCUUGUUUGGAGGAAGCCGCUGAUACUCCAGGUCCCAAAAAUUGUCACAGUUACCUCAAUCUUCAGAAAACACCACCUUGCUCAGUCAGCCACCAUCAGCACAGAGAUAAGACCUCCACCAGCAAAAAUAUUAUGAUUUGAAGCAGGCUCAGCUUAAUGGUAAGCAUUAAAGUAUUUUAAUUAACAUACAUAUAUGCCUUAAUUAAACUGCAUGUAAACUAUG